UCCUUAGAUGUUCUGGGCCGCACGCGCGCUACACUGACGGAGGCAGCGAGCAUGUCCUUCGCCGAGAGGUGUGGGGAAUCUUGUGAGUCUCCGUCGUGCUGGGGAUGGAUGGUUGCAAUUGUCGAUCUUGAACGAGGAAUUCCUAGUAAGCGCGAGUCAUCAGCUCGCGCUGAUUACGUCCCUGCCCUUUGUACACACCGCCCGUCGCUACUACCGAUUGAAUCGUUUAGCGAGAAUUUUGGAUCGGAGCCCUGGUGGGCAGCGAUGUCCGCCUGGGAUUUACCGAGAAAUCAUUCCAGCUUGCCGAUUUAGAGGAAGUAAAAGUCGUAACA
rnacentral:rRNA from 1 species